rnacentral:lncRNA from 1 species
AGUUUGACCCCGGAAGUGCGGGCGCUCAGGGAGCUGUCACCGUGGUCGGCGGCGGCGGCGGCGGCGGCGGCACAGAGCCGGUGGUGGAGCCGCCGAGGCCACCUCGUGUAUGCAGAGACCAUGUGUGUCUGAUCUGCUGGGAUCCUAGAGCUGGAACAGGAGGGUCACGCAGCACAAUGCCAGCUCUGCCCCUGGACCAACUCCAGAUCACCCACAAGGACCCGAAGACAGGAAAGCUGAGGACUUCACCAGCGCUGAUUUGUACCUGUAACUCCAUGAUACAAAUUUGAUUUAAAUGGGAGGGGGUCCUGCAGACCCACAUGAGAGGUGGCCUUGAAGAAUCCUUGUGGUACCCACAGGCUCUACAGUUUGGAAACUCGCCACCCCGAGCAGAAGGCAGACCGGUAUUUUGUGUUAUACAAACCGCCCCCUAAAGACAACAUUCCCGCCCUAGUGGAGGAGUACCUGGAACGCGCCACCUUCGUAGCCAAUGACCUCGACUGGCUCCUGGCCUUGCCUCACGAUAAAUUCUGGUGCCAGGUGAUCUUUGACGAGACUCUACAGAAGUGCCUGGACUCCUACCU